GGUAGUUGUGACCCUUAUGUGGAAGUUAAGCUGGGAAACUACAGGGGUACCACCCGGCAUUUUGAGAAGAAGACCAACCCUGAGUGGAACCAGGUGUUUGCAUUCUCAAAGGAUCAUAUUCAGUCCUCGGUGCUUGAGGUAACUGUCAAGGAUAAAGAUGUUGUUAAGGAUGAUUUCAUUGGUCGUGUUUGGUUUGAUUUGAAUGAGAUACCAAAACGUGUACCGCCAGAUAGUCCAUUAGCACCCCAGUGGUAUAGAUUGGAGGAUAAAAAAGGAGAUAAAAUAAAGGGAGAAUUGAUGUUAGCUGUGUGGAUGGGUACACAAGCAGAUGAAGCUUUUCCAGAAGCAUGGCAUUCUGAUGCAGCGGCUGUAAGUGGAAUAGAUAGUCUUGCCAAUAUUCGUUCAAAGGUAUAUCUCUCCCCGAAACUCUGGUAUUUGAGGGUCAAUGUAAUUGAAGCUCAAGACUUGCAACCAACUGAUAAAGGUCGGUAUCCAGAAGUUUUUGUGAAGGUUAUUCUGGGAAAUCAAGCCUUGAGAACAAGAAUUUCGCCCGGCAGGAGUAUCAAUCCCAUGUGGAAUGAGGACCUUAUGUUUGUGGCGGCAGAACCGUUUGAGGAGCCUUUGAUCUUGAGUGUGGAAGAUAGAGUUGCAUC
rnacentral:misc_RNA from 1 species